rnacentral:rRNA from 1 species
CCUACGGGAGGCAGCAGUAGGGAAUAUUGCUCAAUGGGGGAAACCCUGAAGCAGCAACGCCGCGUGGAGGAUGAAGGUUUUCGGAUUGUAAACUCCUUUUGUUAGAGAAGAUAAUGACGGUAUCUAACGAAUAAGCACCGGCUAACUCCGUGCCAGCAGCCGCGGUAAUACGGAGGGUGCAAGCGUUACUCGGAAUCACUGGGCGUAAAGAGGGCGUAGGCGGGAUAGCAAGUCAGAUGUGAAAUCCUAUGGCUUAACCAUAGAACUGCAGUUGAAACUGUUAUUCUAGAGUAUGGGAGAGGUAGGUGGAAUUCUUGGUGUAGGGGUAAAAUCCGUAGAGAUCAAGAGGAAUACUCAUUGCGAAGGCGACCUGCUAGAACAUAACUGACGCUGAUGCGCGAAAGCGUGGGGAGCAAACAGGAUUAGAUACCCCUGUAGUC